rnacentral:rRNA from 1 species
GACGAACGCUGGCGGCGUGCUUAACACAUGCAAGUCGAACGAAGAGCGACGGAAGCUUGCUUCUAUCAAUCUUAGUGGCGAACGGGUGAGUAACGCGUAAUCAACCUGCCCUUCAGAGGGGGACAACAGUUGAAACGACUGCUAAUACCGCAUACGAUCUAACCUCGGCAUCGAGGAUAGAUGAAAGGUGGCCUCUACAUGUAAGCUAUCACUGAAGGAGGGGAUUGCGUCUGAUUAGCUAGUUGGAGGGGUAACGGCCCACCAAGGCGAUGAUCAGUAGCCGGUCUGAGAGGAUGAACGGCCACAUUGGGACUGAGACACGGCCCAGACUCCUACGGGAGGCAGCAGUGGGGAAUCUUCCGCAAUGGACGAAAGUCUGACGGAGCAACGCCGCGUGAGUGAUGACGGCCUUCGGGUUGUAAAGCUCUGUUAAUCGGGACGAAAGGCCUUCUUGCGAAUAGUGAGAAGGAUUGACGGUACCGGAAUAGAAAGCCACGGCUAACUACGUG